rnacentral:lncRNA from 1 species
CUCUAGGAUAUUGUGCCUUAGCAACAGUGGAAAUUGCAAUGGUGGAAAACAGCCAGGUAGCUCCAGGUGCCAUUUUCCUUCCAGAACUACUGAAUGCAAGUUAGCCUCAAAUCAUUUCCAAGGUUGAGCGGCAAAACAGACGGGUCCAUUACUCUGUGAAGGGGAGCUCCCUCAAAUGCCUUUCUUCAACUGAUCCAACCAGAAACAUUUAUGCAGAAGUGAAGAUAGAGAAAGUCAGGCAAAGCAGGUCUGCAACCUACUGUGGUAACUUCUGGAAGGUCCACAAGAGCC